GUGUUUUUUGGUGGUGUGAAUUGAUCCUUACACAAGAACAAUUUGUGGGCUCGAGUUUCAAUGGAGUUUAAACCUGACUAGCACUUGGCUUAGCAAGGAUUAAUGGAGUAAAUGAGUAAACAAGGAAGCUAGGCUAACAAAUGUACUAUAACAGUAUGCUAAUACUUGGUUAAAACUAAAACUGAGCAGUGGGAAAGUUUGUAAACAAUUUAGAUGAUCU
rnacentral:lncRNA from 1 species